rnacentral:ncRNA from 1 species
CCUGUUGUGCAGCCAACAGUAGCCUAGGGAUAGUGCGAUACCUUAAUGGGUAUGGUGCGAAGCUUCCUGACAAUGUAACCCCGGUUCGCCGGUGCUAUCCCCUCGUGAGGGGGGAUAGCAGAUCCUGCUAGUGACAUGCGGGUGAGG